rfam:Brachypodium distachyon strain Bd21 chromosome 3, whole genome shotgun sequence.
CAAGUACUCCCUCCGUCCAACAAAAAAUGUCUCAAGUUUUUCAAAAUUUGGAUAUAUCUAGACAUAACUUGAGUGUAUAGAUGCAUUCAAAUUUAAUCAAAGUUGAGACAUCCUUUGUUGGAUGGAGGAAUAAAGC